GGAGAAGCAUAAGAUGGAAAGCUAGAUUUAAGAAACUGCCAUUGGCACAUGCCAAAGAAUUUUGGAGAAAGUAUUCUAGAAGUCAGGGGGUAGAGAAGGAAGGGUUAAAUGAUAGAUAACUGACACUUGGUCUUGGUCUUGGACUGGGACUUGGUCCUUGGUCUUAGUCUUGAACUUUUACUUUGAUCCUGGUCUUGCCAAAACAGAAGGAGGAAGAGCUGCUUCUAGGAGUGUUUCCGAUUUCAAGUCUUUGGAGAACAAAGGACAACCCUUCAAUCCUUCCUUGUGCUUCCUUAUCAGCUGGAGGGCAGUUUGGAGCAGAUUUGGUUAUCCCUGCUGUCUUCCUUCUCUUCUCCAGAGUAAACAGCAAUAGUGCCUUAAAAGGUCUGGGUCACCUUUUCUGACACUAAAAUGACAUCUCUUCACCCAGGGUGCACACGGACAGAAUCAGACCAGAAUCUGAGUUGGAAGAGAAUUUAGAAGAGCAAUCUGUCUGAAAAGUGCCAGCUGAUAGGACGCUGGAGACCACUACUUCUUAUGAGAAGCCUUUCCUGACCCUCUGAAAUGAAUAGGGAUAUUGCUAUGGAGUUGCUAUGGGAAAACUAUAUCCACCUUUCUUUUCUCUUGGAGUUUCUGUAUGAUAUGCCUAGACCUGGCAUUUUUUCCAGUGGCACAAGAUCAGCAUUCUUGAACAGACCCAUCAUAUGCCACUACAGUGUAUCAUUGAUCAUAUCACUCUUCUGCUCUAAAUCCUUUAAUGACUUUGAUGGAUCCCAUUGACUACUGGUGAAGUCCAAACUCCUUAGCCUCACAUGUCCUAAAUACUGGGGCACAAAUAAGAAAAAGGCAAUCCUUGGUCUCAAAGGGCUGAUAAUCUAAUGUGAGAAUACAACACAAAAGGAAACUCAAUUCAUGAUUUCUCCUCAUUUUCCACAGAGAAUGAUUUAAAUAAGAAUACUUUAGGGAUAGAUUUCUUUACAGGUCCUUAGAAACAAUUCACAAAUGAGAAUGCCAUAAUGGAAAGAAUUACUUGGAAAUGGAAUCAGAAGACCUGAGGCUAAGCCCCAAAUCUCCUAUUUACUUGUAAUGUGACCUUGGACAAUUUCUUCAAUCUCUCAGAGCCUCAGGCUCUUCAUCUAAAAAAAGGAAAUGAUAUUUGCUCUAUGGUCAAGGUUGUUGUAAGGACUGCAUGUAAGUGUAUAAGAAGUGUUUCAUGCCUGUAAUGUGCUACACAAAAAUAAGAGAAUGUUAGCCUUUUUGUAACACAUAAAAUGUAAUUGUUAGGUCUAUGACUGUUAUGAAACAAAGAAUAAUAAAGGAAUGAAUGAAAUAAAAUAGAGUAGUAGA
rnacentral:lncRNA from 1 species